AUUGAACGCUGGCGGCAGGCCUAACACAUGCAAGUCGAACGGCAGCACAGAAGAGCUUGCUCUUUGGGUGGCGAGUGGCGGACGGGUGAGUAAUGUCUGGGAAACUGCCCGAUGGAGGGGGAUAACUACUGGAAACGGUAGCUAAUACCGCAUAACGUCGCGAGACCAAAGUGGGGGACCUUCGGGCCUCACACCAUCGGAUGUGCCCAGAUGGGAUUAGCUAGUAGGUGGGGUAAUGGCUCACCUAGGCGACGAUCCCUAGCUGGUCUGUGAGGACGACCAGCCACACUGGAACUGAGACACGGUCCAGACUCGUACGGGAGGAAGCAGUGGGGAAUAUUGCACAAUGGGCGCAAGCCUGCUGCAGCCAUGCCGAGUGUAUGAAGAAGGCCUUCGGGUUGUAAAGUACUUUCAGCGGGGAGGAAGGCGGUGAAGUUAAUAGCUUCACCGAUUGACGUUACCCGCAGAAGAAGCACCGGCUAACUCCGUGCCAGCCGCCGCAGUAA
rnacentral:rRNA from 1 species